rnacentral:lncRNA from 13 species
ACAGAAGAACAUAUAUGGCUUACUUUAUAUUUCUGCCAGAUGGAGCUGUUCUGAGGCCUCAUAGUCUUCUGUUUCAGCUGGCAGAAGAGGAAAGAGACAGGAGAGAAGGCAUAUAUAAUUCAUUAAAGCUCCAAUCUGGAGGGACACAACAAGAAGGUCCUCAUCAGACCAAAUACUGGCACCUUCGUCUUGGACUUCCAGCCUCCAAAACUGUGAGAAGUGCAAACUGAGACCAGUGAUAAAGAGAGACUUUCAGUGGAUCACACAUUCUAGAAGUGGCAUGAGUUCAGAUCUAUUUCAAAAAGCAUGCAAGUGAAGAGAGAGGUUAGUAUCAUCAAGGAGAGGUAAAUUAUUGGGUUUUAGUGCUUUGUCCCAUGCAGACUCACUGAGCCUUAUUUAAGUAACUUUUGGGAAUUGAGGCAAUGGAAUGUUGAUUUUUUUCCCCUAAAUACUGUCUUUCAAUACUAAAGUGAGAGUGUUAAGUCCAAAUAAAGGAGCUUCUUGAAGUCUAGUUAGUGUGGGG